rnacentral:rRNA from 1 species
UGCCUUACACAUGCAAGUCGAACGGUAACAGGUCUUCGGAUGCUGACGAGUGGCGAACGGGUGAGUAAUACAUCGGAACGUGCCCGAGAGUGGGGGAUAACGAAGCGAAAGCUUUGCUAAUACCGCAUACGAUCUCAGGAUGAAAGCAGGGGACCGCAAGGCCUUGCGCUCACGGAGCGGCCGAUGGCAGAUUAGGUAGUUGGUGGGAUAAAAGCUUACCAAGCCGACGAUCUGUAGCUGGUCUGAGAGGACGACCAGCCACACUGGGACUGAGACACGGCCCAGACUCCUACGGGAGGCAGCAGUGGGGAAUUUUGGACAAUGGGCGCAAGCCUGAUCCAGCCAUGCCGCGUGCAGGAUGAAGGCCUUCGGGUUGUAAACUGCUUUUGUACGGAACGAAAAGACUCUGGUUAAUACCUGGGGUCCAUGACGGUACCGUAAGAAUAAGCACCGGCUAACUACGUGCCAGCAGCCGCGGUAAUACGUAGGGUGCGAGCGUUAAUCGGAAUUACUGGGCGUAAAGCGUGCGCAGGCGGUUAUGUAAGACAGAUGUGAAAUCCCCGGGCUCAACCUGGGAACUGCAUUUGUGACUGCAUAGCUAGAGUACGGCAGAGGGGGAUGGAAUUCCGCGUGUAGCAGUGAAAUGCGUAGAUAUGCGGAGGAACACCGAUGGCGAANGCAAUNCCCUGGGCCUGUACUGACGCUAUGCCCAAAGCGUGGGA